UGGGAUAAGCCCGGGAAACUUGGUCUAAUACUGGAUGCUACAUGUCACCGCAUGGUGGUGUGUGGAAAGGGUUUACUGGUCUUGGAUGGGCUCACGGCCUAUCAGCUUGUUGGUGAGGUAAUGGCUCACCAAGGCGACGAUCUAUAGCUGGUCUGAGAGGAUGAUCAGCCACAUUGGGACUGAGACACGGCCCAAACUCCUACGGGAGGCAGCAGUGGGGAAUCUUGGACAAUGGGCGAAAGCCUGAUCCAGCCAUGCCGCGUGAGUGAUGAAGGCCCUAGGGUUGUAAAG
rnacentral:rRNA from 1 species